UUCACAAAUAACUAAGUAGACACCUGGAUUAUUUUUUCCGUGUUGUGAAAGAAACUGCCUUUCUCAUAACUGGUUGUCCUACAUCUUACAGGCACUUUAGAUUUUAUCUGGUCUAAAGGAUUUUGCCACGUGAAGUCCUGUGAGGACAGGUUUCUGCUGGUGUUUUUGAAAAGCUGCCCAGAAAGGUACCUUGAAGCAGCCAUGGAGAAUGGUAGGAGAUACUGCAGUAAUAUCUAAACAAGGCUCACAUCAUUUAACACAAGUACAUGAACCAGGUUUGUGGUAUGCUACUGAUGGCAGUGCACUCCCCAGAUUUACUUUAGUAUCUGAGCCCUGAGAAGAUAGUGACAUCUAUGAAGUAUUGCAAAAUCUCAGCUCCUCCUGAGAGCAGCAGGACUAAGCAGCUCAAGAAAUGUGCAGGGCCAGAUCUCUCCAGUGUCCCUUCCAAAUGUUGGGGAGUUGGAAAAUAUUGUGCAGUUCAUCCGGAAGGCACAGCUGGAGCUUCAGUAACAGUCUGAAUUAGAGUGGCACUGGCAACUGAAGGAGCAAUAAACUGCACAGUAGAUGUGGGAACA
rnacentral:lncRNA from 1 species